CCAUGAUGACGGCGACAAAGAGAUUCAGCAUCUGUGGGGAUCCCGGGGACCAAGAGAGAGUGGAGGCAGAGACCGAGGGAAUGAAGGGACUUGGAUUCAAUUGGUCUACGGUGGGAUUUGAGGACACUGCAGUGCCUGGCAUGCUGUAGGUGCUCAAUAAACCUCCACUGAACGAAUGAAGGAACUUUGUGUGCGGCCAAGAUGACUAACCAAAUAAUCAAGCCUUAUGGUCUGUAAGCCUAUUUUCUCAUUGUCGGAUAGGGAUGCCAAGAAUCCUUUCCUCACACGGUAAUCAGGAAGAUUCAGAGAUAAUGCCUGGAAUAUGACCUUCAUGA